rnacentral:rRNA from 1 species
UGGGGAAUAUUGCACAAUGGGCGCAAGCCUGAUGCAGCCAUGCCGCGUGUAUGAAGAAGGCCUUCGGGUUGUAAAGUACUUUCAGCGGGGAGGAAGGGAGUAAAGUUAAUACCUUUGCUCAUUGACGUUACCCGCAGAAGAAGCACCGGCUAACUCCGUGCCAGCAGCCGCGGUAAUACGGAGGGUGCAAGCGUUAAUCGGAAUUACUGGGCGUAAAGCGCACGCAGGCGGUUUCUUAAGUCUGAUGUGAAAGCCCCCGGCUCAACCGGGGAGGGUCAUUGGAAACUGGGAGACUUGAGUGCAGAAGAGGAGAGUGGAAUUCCAUGUGUAGCGAUGAAAUGCGUAGAUAUAUGGAGGAACACCAGUGGCGAAGGCGGCUCUCUGGUCUGUAACUGACGCUGAGGCUCGAAAGCGUGGGGAGCAAACAGG